rnacentral:rRNA from 1 species
GACGAACGCUGGCGGCGUGCUUAACACAUGCAAGUCGAACGGAAAGGCCCUUCGGGGUACUCGAGUGGCGAACGGGUGAGUAACACGUGGGUGAUCUGCCCUGCACUUUGGGAUAAGCCUGGGAAACUGGGUCUAAUACCGAAUAGGACCACGCGCUUCAUGGUGUGUGGUGGAAAGCUUUUGCGGUGUGGGAUGGGCCCGCGGCCUAUCAGCUUGUUGGUGGGGUAAUGGCCUACCAAGGCGACGACGGGUAGCCGGCCUGAGAGGGUGACCGGCCACACUGGGACUGAGAUACGGCCCAGACUCCUACGGGAGGCAGCAGUGGGGAAUAUUGCACAAUGGGCGCAAGCCUGAUGCAGCGACGCCGCGUGAGGGAUGACGGCCUUCGGGUUGUAAACCUCUUUCGAUAGGGACGAAAGCGCAGUGACGGUACCUAUAGAAGAAGCACCGGCCAACUACGUGCCAGCAGCCGCGGGUAUACGUAGGGUGCGAGCGUUGUCCGGAAAUACUGGGCGUAAAGAGCUCGUAAGUGGUUUGUCGCGUUGUUCGUGAAAACUCACAGCUUAACUGUGGGCGUGCGGGCGAUACGGGCAGACUAGAGUACUGCAGGGGAGACUGGAAUUCCUGGUGUAGCGGUGGAAUGCGCAGAUAUCAGGAGGAACACCGGUGGCGAAGGCGGGUCUCUGGGCAGUAACUGACGCUGAGGAGCGAAAGCGUGGGGAGCGAACAGGAUUAGAUACCCUGGUAGUCCACGCCGUAAACGGUGGGUACUAGGUGUGGGUUCCUUCCUUGGGAUCCGUGCCGUAGCUAACGCAUUAAGUACCCCGCCUGGGGAGUACGGCCGCAAGGCUAAAACUCAAAGGAAUUGACGGGGGCCCGCACAAGCGGCGGAGCAUGUGGAUUAAUUCGAUGCAACGCGAAGAACCUUACCUGGGUUUGACAUGCACAGGACGCCGGCAGAGAUGUCGGUUCCCUUGUGGCCUGUGUGCAGGUGGUGCAUGGCUGUCGUCAGCUCGUGUCGUGAGAUGUUGGGUUAAGUCCCGCAACGAGCGCAACCCUUGUCCUAUGUUGCCAGCGGGUUAUGCCGGGGACUCGUAGGAGACUGCCGGGGUCAACUCGGAGGAAGGUGGGGAUGACGUCAAGUCAUCAUGCCCCUUAUGUCCAGGGCUUCACACAUGCUACAAUGGCCGGUACAAAGGGCUGCGAUGCCGUGAGGUGGAGCGAAUCCUUUCAAAGCCGGUCUCAGUUCGGAUCGGGGUCUGCAACUCGACCCCGUGAAGUCGGAGUCGCUAGUAAUCGCAGAUCAGCAACGCUGCGGUGAAUACGUUCCCGGGCCU